AGCUAGCUCUUGCAGAUCAGACACCAACCUGGUUGUGAAGUUUUUUUGGUUAAAUGUCCAGAAAAGUGGGGCUGCAGUUUAUGCGAUGACUGUUCUUGUUAGCAUUAAACCCUGACAAGACUUCUCACUAACUUGGGCAUCCUCCUUACAGUUUGCACCAUCUUCUUCACAGAUUGAGGCAGGAUAAAAAGCUGAUUUUUGGGUUAGCCUUCUGGCAUAGUGUGGUUUGGGAUGCUUUUGACACUAUUACAAUUUCAGGUGGUCACUCAGGAAGAAGCAGCUGGGAUUCAAAUCAUCACUGAAGGUAAAAGCCCUCACAGACAUGAGGACACCAAAGUCCUUCAGAGCACGGCCACAGGAAAUGCUGGUCACCAUUCCAACAGCUCUAAAACUGGAUGUUGCAGGUGUCUUGCAUUGACAGCUGCAAUUUUACUGAUGCUGUGCAGCACAGGAUGUCCACUCUCAUUACGUCUCAAGACACAGGAAAUGCAACUCAGUAUCUGAAUGCAUAAGAGAGAAGGAGCCUUUUAAAGUUCAAGGAUUCAAGAAGCCUGUUGACACCAGUACAUGCUGGUAUAUAAAAAUCAAUUACAGAAUUUAAUACUUAUGUCUGCUGACUUCCAACCCUACAAAAGCCUGCACUGAGGAGGUUCAGAAAUUAGAAGUGAAGAACUGCCAGGCACUUACAUUCUUAUUGUGAAGACUGACUGAAGAGAAGCAUGCAAAACACAAGAAUCAGAAUGAGUUGCUACACAAAUGAUAAACAAAAUAAAAAUAUAUUGAGAAAUAUGCAUGUGUUCACUGC